GACAGAGGGUGCAAACGUUGUUCGGAAUUACUGGGCGUAAAGCGCGUGUAGGCGGCUAUGUAAGUCGGGCGUGAAAUCCCACGGCUCAACCGUGGAAGUGCACCCGAAACUGCGUAGCUAGAGUCCUGGAGAGGAAGGUGGAAUGCUUGGUGUAGAGGUGAAAUUCGUAGAUAUCAAGCGGAACACCGGUGGCGAAGGCGGCCUUCUGGGCCAGCACUGACGCUCAUGCACGAAAGCGUGGGGAGCAAACAGG
rnacentral:rRNA from 1 species